GUCAGUAUAGCUCAGUCGGUAGAGCAUGAGACUCUUAAUCUCGGGGUUCGUGAGUUUGAGGCCCAUAUUGGGCA